GCCCCCGACCUCGAAAGCAGCCUGUUCCUUCUGUGCACUCGGGCGCAGCGACAUUCCCAUGUGGGGUUCCAGGUUCAACCCUUACCGCGUUACAGGGUGGUGGUAACGCAUUCCGGGCAUUGGAAAACCAGAAGCCAGAGGAGGGUCAGGCCGUGGACAUGGAGGGGGAGGCUUGCAGCGGAGAGAAAAGGGCAAGAGAGGAAUCGUGGACAAGCUGGAGUUUAUCUCAAUCACAAACGUGCCCUCUGCAAAGACAGCAUUCAGAGAGCAGGGAGGAAAGCUACAGAGCGGGAGAGAUAUUUGGAAUGGCGCAUCUACUGCGGGGCCCUUGCAGACCGAGAACAAGCAGCUCUGUGAUCGAACACAUGACCCGGCACACAGUGGACACAAGACCUGAACAGACACUUGAGCAAAGAAGAUGCGCACGCGCGCACACACACACACACACACACACACACACACACAGGCAAUGUGCAUUCAUCCAGGGUGUGUGCGGGGACAGAGCUGAGCCUUUGUACCACCGCGGGACACCAGCGCCCGCCACACGCCCCUGUCACGAAGGCUGGGGGCAGGGGGAGCUGGGGUGCAGUGUCAUGUAGCCACGCUGGAAGGCAGGCUGGCGGCUUCUUAUAAAGCUGAACAGAGCCUCACCAUAUGCCCCAAAGUGCUCACAGUUAUCAACCCAACUGGUUCGAAAUCUUUUAUCCAAGUAAAACCUGUGUGAAGGUUCUGUGCUUUAUGCACGACGACUCAACCUGGAAGCACCCAAGCUGCUCUUAGGUGAACAGACACUGGCAAUCCAAAACGGGGACUACAUCAGGGACACACAGGACCACGCUACGGACGCGCUCGAUGCCAUGGAAGCACCUGGGCUGCACUUGGCUCGGGGAAGGAAGCCAGAUCGUGUGGUUGUGCUCACGGCACCAGGAACAGGCCAGACCACGGGCAGGAGAGGCCUCGGGGGCUGCGUGGGCGUUUUCAUGGAGGCAAACGGCAAACAGCAGAAUGAAAAUAAACUCCAUCCCACGGUA